AAAGAAACCAACAGGGAUUGCCUCAGUAACGGCGAGUGAAGCGGCAAAAGCUCAAAUUUGAAAUCUAGCACUUUCAGUGUUCGAGUUGUAAUUUGAAGAAGGUAACUUUGGUUUUGGCUCUUGUCUAUGUUCCUUGGAACAGGACGUCACAGAGGGUGAGAAUCCCGUGCGAUGAGAUGCCCAAUUCCAUGUAAAGUGCUUUCGAAGAGUCGAGUUGUUUGGGAAUGCAGCUCUAAGUGGGUGGUAAAUUCCAUCUAAAGCUAAAUAUUGGCGAGAGACCGAUAGCGAACAAGUACAGUGAUGGAAAGAUGAAAAGAACUUUGAAAAGAGAGUGAAAAAGUACGUGAAAUUGUUGAAAGGGAAGGGCUUGAGAUCAGACUUGGUAUUUUGCGUUCCCUUCCUUUUUGGUUGGGUUCCUCGCAGUUUACUGGGCCAGCAUCGGUUUGGAUGGUAGGAUAAUGACAUUGGAAUGUAGCUUUACUUCGGUGAAGUGUUAUAGACUUUGUUGAUACUGCCUAUCUAGACCGAGGACUGCGUCUUUGACUAGGAUGCUGGCGUAAUGAUCUUAAGCCGCC
rnacentral:rRNA from 1 species